rnacentral:rRNA from 1 species
UAGGGAAUCUUCGGCAAUGGACGGAAGUCUGACCGAGCAACGCCGCGUGAGUGAAGAAGGUUUUCGGAUCGUAAAGCUCUGUUGUAAGAGAAGAACGAGUGUGAGAGUGGAAAGUUCACACUGUGACGGUAUCUUACCAGAAAGGGACGGCUAACUACGUGCCAGCAGCCGCGGUAAUACGUAGGUCCCGAGCGUUGUCCGGAUUUAUUGGGCGUAAAGCGAGCGCAGGCGGUUAGAUAAGUCUGAAGUUAAAGGCUGUGGCUUAACCAUAGUAGGCUUUGGAAACUGUUUAACUUGAGUGUAAGAGGGGAGAGUGGAAUUCCAUGUGUAGCGGUGAAAUGCGUAGAUAUAUGGAGGAACACCGGUGGCGAAAGCGGCUCUCUGGCUUGUAACUGACGCUGAGGCUCGAAAGCGUGGGGAGCAAACAGGAUUAGAUACCCUGGUAGUCCACGCCGUAAACGAUGAGUGCUAGGUGUUAGACCCUUUCCGGGGUUUAGUGCCGUAGCUAACGCAUUAAGCACUCCGCCUGGGGAGUACGACCGCAAGGUUG